UACGUAGGGUGCGAGCGUUGUCCGGAAUUACUGGGCGUAAAGAGCUCGUAGGUGGUUUGUCGCGUUGUUCGUGAAAACUCACAGCUUAACUGUGGGCGUGCGGGCGAUACGGGCAGACUGGAGUACUGCAGGGGAGACUGGAAUUCCUGGUGUAGCGGUGGAAUGCGCAGAUAUCAGGAGGAACACCGGUGGCGAAGGCGGGUCUCGUGGGCAGUAACUGACGCUGAGGAGCGAAAGCGUGGGGAGCGAACAGG
rnacentral:rRNA from 1 species